rnacentral:rRNA from 1 species
CGGACGGGUGAGUAAUGUCUGGGAAACUGCCUGAUGGAGGGGGAGUAACUACUGGAAACGGUAGCUAAUACCGCAUAACGUCGCAAGACCAAAGAGGGGGACCUUCGGGCCUCUUGCCAUCGGAUGUGCCCAGAUGGGAUUAGCUAGUUGGUGAGGUAAUGGCUCACCAAGGCGACGAUGCGUAGCCGACCUGAGAGGGUGAUCGGCCACAUUGGGACUGAGACACGGCCCAGACUCCUACGGGAGGCAGCAUG